rnacentral:rRNA from 1 species
UACGAAGGGUGCAAGCGUUACUCGGAAUUACUGGGCGUAAAGCGUGCGUAGGUGGUUCGUUAAGUCUGAUGUGAAAGCCCUGGGCUCAACCUGGGAAUGGCAUUGGAUACUGGCGACCUAGAGUGCGGUAGAGGGUGGCGGAAUUCCCGGUGUAGCAGUGAAAUGCGUAGAUAUCGGGAGGAACAUCCGUGGCGAAGGCGGCCACCUGGACCAGCACUGACACUGAGGCACGAAAGCGUGGGAGCAAACAGG